rnacentral:rRNA from 1 species
UGCGUCGGAACGUACCGAGUAAUGGGGGAUAACGCGGCGAAAGUCGCGCUAAUACCGCAUACGCCCUGAGGGGGAAAGCAGGGGAUCGCAAGACCUUGCGUUAUUCGAGCGGCCGACGUCUGAUUAGCUAGUUGGUGGGGUAAAGGCUCACCAAGGCGACGAUCAGUAGCGGGUCUGAGAGGAUGAUCCGCCACACUGGGACUGAGACACGGCCCAGACUCCUACGGGAGGCAGCAGUGGGGAAUUUUGGACAAUGGGGGCAACCCUGAUCCAGCCAUUCCGCGUGAGUGAAGAAGGCCUUCGGGUUGUAAAGCUCUUUCAGCUGGAGCGAAACGGUACGCUCUAACAUAGCGUGCUAAUGACGGUACCAGCAGAAGAAGCACCGGCUAACUACGUG